GGCCUCGAGAGGCGAGGAAGCGAGGCCAAGAGGAAGGGAGGAGGUGCGGGAUUGUCCAUUACUCUCCGCGCUCCCGUCCGGGGUGGUUCCCGUCCUUGGUGGACUUCACGGACGGCUCUCGUUGCUUCGCCAGAUUGGUCUUGCUGCUGCUCUGAAUUUGAUUGAAUCCACGGCUGCUUCGCUGGGCUGGCUUCGUACGGACACGGAGAUAAGUAACUUUCAUUCCGUGGACAACGAACGUGUUCAGCAGCCACGCCCUUGAUGCUGCCCUGGACGAUGAUUUGGCUACGGGAGCCUUUGUGUGUUCCGUCCAGACUGAAUGCUGCGUCGAGCCCCGGAGUAACGCCCCACCACACCAGGAGGCCCCGGAGUCCACACUUCCGCUCGAUUGUUCCCGUCGUCGCCUGCACUUCUCAGUUAAUCCAGUCCUACUACCCAAACAACGUUUCGUUAGACUCGGUGGUCCGCUGGCGUGGGUCCUGAGCUGUCUUUGUUGUUCUUAAGUCGCAAGGCUCCACAACUUUAAUAUUGCUUUGUAUUUUUCUUUUUUUUUAAUAAAAAAAUUUUGUGGAGAUUU